GACUGGGAUAGCUCCAUCUGUAAAGCAUGAGACUCUCAAUCUCAGGGUUGUGGCUUCAAGCCUCACUUUAGGCA